CGCCCCCAUAUGCACGCCCUCGCCGGCCAUUGGCCGCUCGCUGAGCUCCCUACCAAUCGUGAAGCCCGCCCCCGCCCCACCCCGACCCUUCGGGGGUAGCCGCGGCACGAGCAUCCUCCGGGUCCUAGCGUCCGUCCCUUUCUGCCUCUCCGUGAAUCAGAGAGAUGAGGAAACUGAGGCUCAGAGAAGGAGCUAUUGGACACAAAGAGUUAACUUCCCAGCCCAGUUCUAGCCCCACACGCCGCCAGCCCCUCCAGGUGUAGAGUAUUCCUGGGACCUUCAGCUGCAGCUUGGGCUGCUCCUGGGAGAUUUCAGAAGGAACUCCUUUAGCUCUGCAAUCCAUCCUUCAGUCUGCAUUUAGUAAGCGCCCAGGGCUAGGACCGAGAGGCCAAAGGCCGCCCCUGCCCCGAGGAAUGGACAGUCUGAAACCUAAAAUUGGGGGAGCCCCAUCCAAGGACCCAAAUCUUUAACCACCUCCGCCUUCCCAGCACACAGAAGGGCCAGAGGAGGAGGGCUUUGUGCCUUGCUCUCAGUGGGCACUCAAUGUCUCUUAGAAUGAACCGUGCUAACCAGCCCUGCAAUGAUGGGGGAUGAUUCCCCAACUGGCAGGAGACUCGGGAGUCCAGAGAGAGAACAGAUCAACUCUGCUGGGCGCGCAGGCAAAGCACUCUGGGUUUUCACCUGCCUUCUUUCACGUUUUGCAAGAUCUCCAGGUCUGGAAAGAGGGUGGAGGGAGGGAAAGAAUGUGAAACUGACUUGUGCAUUAUUCAGUGCUCUGGGGGUUUGGGGUUGCGACUCUGCCUCCCCCCUCCCCCCCCCCCCCAGCUGUGUAUUGGUGUCUCUAGAAACUGAAACUUCCCUUGGGCCAGUGAGGCACUUGGCUUGUAGGUUAGGAAAAGGAAACUAGAAAGCUUGGUGGGGAGAGAAUGAACUCAAGCUCCUCCCAAGGCUCCGCUGGACAGAUGACCCAAGCUACCACUUCAAAGGCUUAGGAGGUGC